rnacentral:misc_RNA from 1 species
CGCAGCCGCGGUAAUUCCAGCUCCAAUAGCGUAUAUUAAAGUUGUUGCAGUUAAAAAGCUCGUAGUUGAAUUUCGGGAUCAAUAUGUUGGUCGUGCCUCGGUACGUACUAGCAUAUUGGUUUCUCCUUUCUGAGGAACCAUGAUGUCAUUUAUUUGGUGUCGUGGGGAAUCAGGACUGUUACUUUGAAAAAUUAGAGUGUUUAAAGCAGGCUCACGCUUGAAUACAUUAGCAUGGAAUAAUGAAAUAGGACGUUUGAUUCUAUUUUGUUGGUUUCUAGGAUCGACGUAAUGAUUAAUAGGGAUAGUUGGGGGCAUUAGUAUUCAAUUGUCAGAGGUGAAAUUCUUGGAUUUAUUGAAGACUAACUACUGCGAAAGCAUUUGCCAAGGAUGUUUUCAUUAAUCAAGAACGAAAGUUAGGGGAUCGAAGACGAUCAGAUACCGUCGUAGUCUUAACCAUAAACUAUGCCGACUAGGGAUCGGAUGAUGUUAAUUUUUAAUGACUCAUUCGCGCCUUAAC